rnacentral:rRNA from 1 species
CGCUGGCGGCGUGCCUAACACAUGCAAGUCGAACGGAACUUGUUGGAUCAAGACUUCGGUCAAGUGAAUUCAAGUUUAGUGGCGAACGGGUGAGUAACGCGUGAGCAACCUGCCUUUCAGAGGGGGACAACAGUUGGAAAAGAACGCUAAUACCGCAUAACGUAUCAUGUUGGCAUCAACGAGAUACCAAAGGAGCAAUCCGCUGAGAGAUGAGCUCGCGUCUGAUUAGAUAGUUGGUGAGGUAACGGCUCACCAAGUCGACGAUCAGUAGCCGGACUGAGAGGUUGAACGGCCACAUUGGGACUGAGACACGGCCCAGACUCCUACGGGAGGCAGCAGUGGGGAAUAUUGCACAAUGGGCGCAAGCCUGAUGCAGCAACGCCGCGUGAGGGAUGACGGUCUUCGGAUUGUAAACCUCUGUCCUUGGUGACGAAACAAAUGACGGUAGCCAUGGAGGAAGCCACGGCUAACUACGUG